rnacentral:lncRNA from 1 species
CUCCGAAGAAAUCCAGAACUCUCUGGGCCAUUCACAGCAUCCAAAGACAACAGAGUUGCUGGAUCACUGCCAGGCCCCAGGCAUUGAAGCCUUGCUUGCUGCAAUUCUCUUUGGCUAAGUUAGGCACAUACUAAAAUGGAUACAAGGAUCCCAUAGCAAUUGCCUUGUAAGACACUUAAAGGCAACUGAUCACAAGGUGGACAAGGGAAAGCUUUCAAGAACCCUGAAAUUGAAUUUGGAGUCACUAAUACAGCUAGGGAAUGAUAGCGUGGAAUGUCUCAAGGUCGCUUGCAACAGAGAAAGGGGGCCUUAUUUCAAAGAAAUUGCCCUGUCUGCCAGGAUAAAAAUGAGACACACACAGCAAAGAGAAAAGAGCAGCUGCUACAGAGCAUUACCAAGGGAGAGACUGCAAAACAAAUCAUCAGUGGGAAGGAGAAUGAGGAACACCACGAAUUUCUUCCAUCACUGGACAAGAAGCGCUCUCUCCUCUAAUUCAUAGGAUAAAAAGAAAGCUGGCUCCAAAUGGCCAUUUAAGCCCAGUAGGGCCCUUUGCAAGAAUGCGAAAGAGAGAAGAUAACAUGAUUUUCUCCACUGUGUCAAGAUGCAAUGGCUACAUAUACCUCCUGCAGCUGAAUUAUAAAGGCUGGAGCGUGCUUGCGACCAUUUGGACCACAUGGUUCCCGCUGUCAAAAGGUACCCCCCAGAGACAUCAUUUUCCACUGCCUAUGGAUCAGACGUCCAACAGAUUCCAGGAGGCACAAUGUUAAUAGACUGAAAUUGUCUUUGCUUCUGGAGGCAAAAGUGAAGAUAGGCAGGGCAAAGAUUUUCUCUUGUGCUUUCUUCUAGAACUUUUAUAGUUUCAGGUUUCACAUUGUGUAUGAUCCCCUUUGAGUUAAUUUUUUUAUGUGAUGCAAGAUAUGGAUCAAGAUUUGGAUUUGAAUAUGGAUAACCAAUUGUUCCAGCACCAUUUGCUGAAAAGACUAUCUUUUCUUCACUAAAUUGCUUUUUUAACUUUGAAAAGAAUCAAUUAACCCAUAUAUGUGUGUAUCUAUUUCUGGACUUUCUAUUCUGCUUCAUUGAUUUAUAUUGUCUAUUCUUUUGCCAUUACCACACGGGCUUGAUUACUGUAGCUUCAUAGGAACUCUUGAAAUUAGGUAGUGUGAUUCCUCCAACUUUGUUCUUUUUCAAAAUUAUGCUGGCUAUUACAGUUCCUUUGUCUUACCAUAUAUAUUUUAGAAUCAGCUUGCUGAUUUUUACACACACACACACACACACACACACACAAACCUGCUAGAUUUUUCACUAGAACUGUACUGAAUUCAUACAUCUAUAUUAUUUUUUUUUUAAGAUAAAUUGCUUCAUAAAUUUAUUCUGAUGCUUCUGGUUCAAACUCAGGGAUACAGAGGUUUCUACUUUAACCUCUUCUCUGUUAAACUUGUGUCUCUUUCCUUCCACACCAAAUAUCCUAGUUCUCUAGGACACUGAAAGUGAUAGAAUUGGAACAUUUCAUAAUUGUUCAUCUAGUUUAUCCCAUAUUACAAACAUAGUCUCUGAAUAAUACUCAUAUUAUAACAAUAUAAUUACUAAUAUUAAUUAAAAACUUUUUUGCAUAUGCCUUUUUUCUCCCAUUUUUAUAAUUGUACUAUAUCUACAUUUUCUGAACAUAUAGUCAUCCCAUUACUAUAAAAAAUCUGCCUUGAUAUUUUUUCUAAAAGACACACUCAUCUAUUUAUUUAACUGAGUUAUUCUCUGCCUCCUUCAAAAAUGAUUUUAAACUCCCUUAAAAAGAGGAAAAUACAGUUGGGUAAAAAGGAGGAAGCAAAUAUGUUAACCAUAAUUUAAAUAUGCGUUAUGAUUAAGUGCAAUAUUUGGCUCAAUGCAUCCUAACAGCCAAAUUAAAGGUAAAAAUGUGACAAGUUACAUAAAGUGGUAUUUUUCAAAUACAAUUGUUAUUUUUUUUAAGAUUAAAGGCAGACUUUUUUUUUACAUUACAUUACUAGGAGACAAAAAUUGAGAUGUGUAAUAACAUCCUCAAUUAGAGUUUCACAGAAAUGUAAAAAAAAAUUGACGUGAAAAAAGUUCAACAUAAUAUUAAAGUGCAAAUCAGUAAAACCGAGAGAUCUUUCAGAGAAAGACCUUUAUCUUAAACUGUUUUUUAAUACUUUUAAUGUACAUCAUGUAGCUGUUUGUCUCUUUUUAUUAUAGUAUAUAUUAUUACAGAAAUAUUUUAAAUAUUUAUAUUUAAAUAUAUUUAUACAUAUAUAUGGUACAUAUGUAUAUAUUUUUGCUUUUCUAAUUAGAAAGAAUUUCCCACUAUCAACAUUAUCACUAAGAACUUUAGCUGACUCUUUGAGUCAAGAAAACACUUUGAAAGUUCUACUCAGCCACAGCUUAGAAACUGCCCAACGUGCUUCACCACCAAGCUUAGGCUAUGUUAAAGCAAACGUGGCAUCAGCUUCAAGGGCAAGGCAGGGGAAGAAGACAUUAGUUGCAGAUAUAAUAAUAUGGGAAAAGGGGGUCAAAGAAUGGACAUUUGACUAAUGGGGUGAACAGCAGGAGAAGAGUGUUAGUGACUAUGAGACAGUGGAUGUGGAAGGAAAGAUCACAGUACCAUUGACUGUCCAUUGUAAAAGUCCAGCAAGACCUAAAGGAAAUGAGCAUGUCCUAGAGAAGUCUGAAUUUGUUAACAGGAGACUAGCUUAAUGGACAGUGAAUAAUAGUAUUACUGGAAAAGGUAAUCUGGAUAGGAAUAAGAUAUAGAUAAAUCAAAGAUUGAAGUUUCCUGAAUUCUCCCACACAGAGUUAUAUACAAAUUCUAACACCACAGUAUUUUCCACCUUGAAUCAUGCUUCAUGAGUUUGCUUUAUGAAAGAGCAUUUCAUUUACUUGAUGGUGACAGCUUGCCCAUUUUCAGGUGACUACAUCCUUAUCACCACUUGAGAGCCAGUGGGCUCCUCUCAGAAAAUCGGGCUUACACAGACAAGAUAGUCCACGGUUUUAUGCCAAAUUUCUCUAUCUAUCUCUUGCUACUCUCUGAGGGCAUUCUGACCUCUUAAUUCCUUGAGGGCCAUAAUUGACCAGAAACACUCUUGACUGCAUCAGGAAUUGAGUGGGAACUCUUGAUAGGUCUUUGGUCAAUCACUUAAGAAAAUCCAUUUCAUUUAAGUCAUUCCUGGAAAUUUUUUCUUUUACUUAAUUAUGUUGUGCACCCUUUUGCUUCCCUCUCAUGAUAUCAGGACACACAGGUUAAUGUGAAAGAAGCAUAUGCAGUUACUAAAGAAAUGAAGUUUUUCCACUGAUAGGUAUAUGGGUUAGAUUGAAUAUUAACACUGAUUCCUCGUGCUCUUUCCUUAUGACGCCUAAGUAAUAAGUUAUUUGCUUUCAUAAAUUUUUGAAAUUGUAUGUGAUUAGUAAUAAAAGGUCUGCAUCAGAAAAUAAUAUCCUUACCAACAGGAAACAGGGGUUUCAGUUGAAAAGCAUGAAACAUAUAUUUUCUUGAUAAAGCUGAUAUGGUUUGGCUGUCCCCACCCAAAUCUCAUCUUGAACUAUAGCUCCAACAAUUCCCACGUGUGGUGAGAGGUAAUUGAAUCAUGGGGGCGGGUCUUUCUCAUGCUGUUCUCAUGAUAGUGAAUAAGUCUCAUGAAAUCUGAUGGUUUUAUAAGGGGGAGUUUCCCUGCACAAAUUUUCUCUUGUCUGUCACCAUGUAAGACCUGCCUUUCACCUUCCACUAUUAUUAUGAGCCUCCCCAGACAUGUGAAACUGUGAGUCCAUUAAACUUCUUUUUCUUUAUAAAUUACCUAGUUUUAGGUAUGUCUUUAUCAGCAGUGUGAAAUAAAGUAUAGAAAGUCUAUUAUAUUGGAAAGAACACUGGGGCUCAGGCAUUAGCUCAACCCUUAGGUCCAUACCUUAUGGUCACAUAAUAUUGGAUAAGUCACUCAAUAUCUUUGAGCCUUGUUUAACAUAGAAAUAAUAAUAAUGACCUCACUGGAUUAGUCGCGG